rnacentral:lncRNA from 12 species
AAACAAAAAAAAACAGAAAAUCGCUUUGAAACUGCCGAACUGGGAUCCUGGGCCUCACUCCGCAGGCCUCGGAGCGGGCGUCAGAGCCAGGUUUUGCAGUCCUCUCGCCUCAGCUGCGGCCCCGCGACCACAAUUCCAGGUGCCCGCCAGGACCCUUCGAGCCCCGACAGCCCGGAAGCGCCUGACCACGCCUACCCACUGCGCCUGCGCGAGGCGCCCCCUCCGGCGAGCGGGGAGACUGGCGCUGGGCGGGCCGAGAGGCUCGUCGCGCCUGCGCGAAGGCCCCGGGGAGCAGCGUCGUUACUUUCCAAACGACUGGCGGGAACCGUUGGAGGCCGUGCGGUCGCCGUCUGGUCUGCCGGGCAGCAGCGCGCUCCCUCGUCCCUAGGCCUGGCCGUGGCGCCGCAGCUCUCCCGCGAGCAGAGGCGGAAAUCGUGGCCCAGUUCUUCUCAUUUGGCAUCAACAGCAUUUUAUAUCAGCGUGGCAUAUAUCCAUCUGAAACCUCUACCAGAGAGCAGAAAUACGGACUCACCUUGCUUAUAACAACAGAUCCUGAGCUCAUAAAAUAAUUCAAUCAUGUAGUGGACAAGUGAAAGGUAUUUAAUUGUUGAAAACCAAUUUGAGUUUUGCAGGUCUUCUUGGACCCGUACUUUCUGGCAUCUUGGUGUUCAUUUUUCAGCUCUAUACAAAGAGGUGUAGAACACUGCAAUCUCAAAUAUAGUGAUUCUCCAUCGGAAGGAAGCAAAUAAUAAAGUGAAAGAAAGUCCACUCUUCCCUACCA